rnacentral:rRNA from 1 species
GAUGAACGCUAGCGGCAGGCCUAAUACAUGCAAGUCGAACGAUACCAGAGAGCUUGCUUUCUGGGAAAGUGGCGCACGGGUGCGUAACGCGUAUGCAACCUACCUUAAUCAGGGGGAUAGCCUCUCGAAAGAGAGAUUAACACCGCAUAACAUCAUUUUACGGCAUCGGAGAAUGAUCAAAUAUUUAUAGGAUUAAGAUGGGCAUGCGUGACAUUAGCUAGUUGGUGAGGUAACGGCUCACCAAGGACACGAUGUCUAGGGGAUCUGAGAGGAUGACCCCCCACACUGGUACUGAGACACGGACCAGACUCCUACGGGAGGCAGCAGUAAGGAAUAUUGGUCAAUGGAGGCAACUCUGAACCAGCCAUGCCGCGUGCAGGAAGACGGCCCUAUGGGUUGUAAACUGCUUUUAUACGGGAAUAAACCUCUCUACGUGUAGGGAGUUGAAUGUACUGUAAGAAUAAGGAUCGGCUAACUCCGUGCCAGCCGCCGCGGUAA